rnacentral:rRNA from 1 species
AUUCCUACGGGAGGCAGCAGUGGGGAAUUUUGGACAAUGGGCGCAAGCCUGAUCCAGCCAUGCCGCGUGAGUGAAGAAGGCCUUCGGGUUGUAAAGCCCUUUCGGCGGGGACGAAAAGAUUCGUGUUAACACCACGGAUCCAUGACGGUACCCGCAGAAGAAGCACCGGCUAACUACGUGCCAGCAGCCGCGGUAAUACGUAGGGUGCAGGCGUUAAUCGGAAUUACUGGGCGUAAAGCGUGCGCAGGCGGUUUGUUAAGACAGAUGUGAAAUCCCCGGGCUUAACCUGGGAACUGCGUUUGUAACUGGCAAGCUAGAGUGUGGCAGAGGGGGGUGGAAUUCCAGGUGUAGCAGUGAAAUGCGUAGAGAUCUGGAGGAACACCGAUGGCGAAGGCAGCCCCCUGGGCUAACACUGACGCUCAUGCACGAAAGCGUGGGGAGCAAACAGGAUUAGAUACCCUGGUAGUCCACGCCCUAAACUAUGUCAACUGGUUGUCGGGGAAGCAAUUCCUUGGUAACGAAGCUAACGCGUGAAGUUGACCGCCUGGGGAGUACGGCCGCAAGGUUAAAACUCAAAGGAAUUGACGGGGACUCGCACAAGCGGUGGAUUAUGUGGAUUAAUUCGAUGCAACGCGAAAAACCUUACCUACCCUUGACAUGCCCGGGAGCCAGAUGAGAGUUUGGUGUGCUCGAAAGAGAGCCGGGACACAGGUGCUGCAUGGCUGUCGUCAGCUCGUGUCGUGAGAUGUUGAGUUAAGUCCCGCAACGAGCGCAACCCUUGCCAUUAGUUGCUACAUUUAGUUGGGCACUCUAAUGGGACUGCCGGUGACAAACCGGAGGAAGGUGGGGAUGACGUCAAGUCCUCAUGGCCCUUAUGGGUAGGGCUUCACACGUCAUACAAUGGCGGAUACAGAGGGUUGCCAACCCGCGAGGGGGAGCCAAUCCCAGAAAGUCCGUCGUAGUCCGGAUCGGAGUCUGCAACUCGACUCCGUGAAGUCGGAAUCGCUAGUAAUCGCGGAUCAGCAUGUCGCGGUGAAUACGUUCCCGGGCCUUGUACACACCGCCAUCCAUAUG